rnacentral:tRNA from 1 species
GGGUCCAUAGCUCAGCUGGGAGAGCACCUGCCUUGCACGCAGGGGGUCAGCGGUUCGAUCCCGCUUGGCUCCACCA